UCUUCUACAGUCGCUGGUGUCCUACUGCACAAUGGUCUGUUUGAGGAGUCAGUGAAGCUGUACAAGGAGGCCCUGGCUCUGGCCCAGUCUGCAGGAGAUGAAGAAGCAGUAGAGCAGAUACGGGAGGGGCUGAAAGAGGUGGACAACAGGAGGAAAGCCAAGAAGGCAGAAACAGAAGCCCCCAAGACUGAGACCGACUGACCAGUUGGAUCAACCAAACAAAUAUUAACACAACCCCAAGCCAUCUCUGAACAUUUCUGUUUGCAAAUCUGAAGGGACUGAAAUUAGAUGGGUCAUGUAUGCGGAGCACAUGGCUUAUACAGUAGCUCAGGAGGAGAAGGAGAAAUGCAACAAUCUCAUCUGUGAAACCCUGUAAUGUUUUGUCUGUAUUGUGUGACAUCUGACUCCAAUGAGGUGUUGUUUUGUUGUCAGAUUGGCUCAAGAUCUAAAGGGAAAGACUCUGAGCUAAAAUGAGUAAGACAAAGCCGGAAUUCAGUCAAAGGUAUGUUGUUCGACAAGCGUAUUGCACAUUUACUUUUAAAUUGCCGCUCCUUUAUAUUUACGCUCGAGACAACAUCCGCAGCGUUUAUCAUGAAUGUCUUUACGAGCGCCGGGGAAAAUGCCAUUUGUUGACAAUCCGCUUUUGAUUGAAUCCCAGCCUGAAUAAUGGCAUCUUAGGAGAAGUCAUGUGAAUGACUAUAAAUAAAACUGUGUACGACAUGUACAAUUUAUGUGUAUUACAACACAAUAAUUUCAUACAGGCUUGAAAGUGACAUGGGACUUAACUGUCAGCUUCAAGAGUGAAAUGCCAAAUCAGUAAUUGUAUGGUUUUCCCUUUGUGUGAACAACCAAGAUAUACAAUAAGGCCGAGGCUGCGGGUCCGACUUUUCUGAACCCCGCUUUCCAGCGGCUGGGGUCCCGUGGCUUGUGUGCAUGUGGGGGAUUCUGUACUUUGCCCACACAAUCUCUGCUCAACUCGUUGAUAACCUCCCUUCUCAUUUCGCACUGUCAAUCGUGAAUGAUAAUUCUUAAAAUUUUACAGGUGAAAUGUCCAUGCUGCAUCUGCAUACUGACGAUUUGGUGUAAAUCAGUUUCACGGGGAUACAGUGCAUUCGGAAAGUAUUCAGACCCCUUGACUUUUUCCACUUUUUGUUACGUUACAGCCUUAUUCUAAAAUUGAUUAAAAAAUAAUCAUCAUCCUCA